rnacentral:tRNA from 2 species
GGCCCUAUCGUCUAGUGGACCAGGACGCCGGGUUCUCAGCUCGGUAACUGGGGUUCGAAUCCCCAUAGGGCUA